UGAGGAAUAUUGGUCAAUGGACGAGAGUCUGAACCAGCCAAGUAGCGUGAAGGAUGACUGCCCUAUGGGUUGUAAACUUCUUUUAUAUGGGAAUAAAGUUUUCCACGUGUGGAAUUUUGUAUGUACCAUAUGAAUAAGGAUCGGCUAACUCCGUGCCAGCAGCCGCGGUAAUACGGAGGAUCCGAGCGUUAUCCGGAUUUAUUGGGUUUAAAGGGAGCGUAGGUGGACAGUUAAGUCAGUUGUGAAAGUUUGCGGCUCAACCGUAAAAUUGCAGUUGAUACUGGCUGUCUUGAGUACAGUAGAGGUGGGCGGAAUUCGUGGUGUAGCGGUGAAAUGCUUAGAUAUCACGAAGAACUCCGAUUGCGAAGGCAGCUCACUGGACUGCAACUGACACUGAUGCUCGAAAGUGUGGGUAUCAAACAGG
rnacentral:rRNA from 2 species